GGGGAUGCUAGCCAUGGCCCUCCAUGGCCGCCGGAAAACUAAGUGACUCCCGUACGGGAGACUCAGAAAGGACGUCAACGAUUCCUAUCCAAAAGCAGAGGGCAAUAUAGUCCACUCAUGUUGCAAUUACAUAGAAGAAUAUUAGAAAAGAUGAGAAAUACAUCAAAUGGUACAAAAAUCAAAUGGCCAACGUUUGGGAGCCUAUUUUUGCGAAACCAAUGUUAGAGAUGGCAAAACUGCGAAGCCUAUUGUUUCAAGUCCCAAAUAUGCAAUUUUCUCUCCUCAGUGCUGUAUCUUGAUUCGUUUGCAGGCGCCUAAAGCUGAACCCAAAGGACAGAAGGAGAAAUGAUGCGAAGGAGCAUGUCUCCCUCAAGCUUAAGCUGAUGCGAACUUCAGCGAAACCUGACACUGUCAUAGAGGCAUGUUUCAAGUUCUGGAUAUAUGAUCAGUCCUUUGGAAAGCACAGUGAGCAUCUAGGUAACCACAGCUUCCAGGCUACAAACACAGCUUCUGGCAGCUCAUGCAUGACAACUCAUGCAUGAUACCCCUGAAGAAACUGAAGACCUCUGGAUUUCUUGUCAACAACAUAGUAGUUGUAUACAGAUCAUUAAUUGAAUUGUGGUUCGAUGUUUAUUUUUUAUGUUUGUGUUGAGGCUAAAGUCGCAAUCGUUGACCCCUCCAAGACAGAGUAGUUUCAGAAAUCUGUGAGAGCUGAUGAGAUUAUUCUAACUGGCACCAGCUGUAUGAAGUGUUCCAUAGCACCGUGACAUAUUGAGACUGUCUUCUUGUUUGGAACUUCAAAUAUCUCAUAUCUGAACAUACCA